AUUAAUACCGCAUACGCCCUGAGGGGGAAAGUGGGGGACCGUAAGGCCUCACGUUAUACGAGCAGCCGAUGUCUGAUUAGCUAGUUGGUGGGGUAAAGGCUCACCAAGGCAACGAUCAGUUAGCGGGUCUGAGAGGAUGAUCCGCCACACUGGGACUGAGACACGGCCCAGACUCCUACGGGAGGCAGCAGUGGGGAAUUUUGGACAAUGGGCGCAAGCCUGAUCCAGCCAUGCCGCGUGUCUGAAGAAGGCCUUCGGGUUGUAAAGGACUUUUGUCCGGGAGCAAAUCCCAGUGGUUAAUACCUACUGGGGCUGAGAGUACCGGAAGAAUAAGCACCGGCUGACUACGUGCCAGCAGCCGCGGUAAUACGUAGGGUGCAAGCGUUAAUCGGAAUUACUGGGCGUAAAGCGUGCGCAGGCGGUUAUGUAAGACAGAGGUGAAAUCCCCGGGCUCAACCUGGGAACGGCCUUUGUGACUGCAUAGCUAGAGUACGGUAGAGGGGGAUGGAAUUCCGCGUGUAGCAGUGAAAUG
rnacentral:rRNA from 1 species